rnacentral:rRNA from 1 species
AUUGAACGCUGGCGGCAGGCCUAACACAUGCAAGUCGCACGAGUGGCGGACGGGUGAGUAAUGUCUGGGAAACUGCCUGAUGGAGGGGGAUAACUACUGGAAACGGUAGCUAAUACCGCAUACCAUCAGAUGUGCCCAGAUGGGAUUAGCUAGUUGGUGGGGUAACGGCUCACCAAGGCGACGAUCACUAGCUGGUCUGAGAGGAUGACCAGCCACACUGGAACUGAGGCAAGUUCUAGACGCAUACGUGAGGCCGCAGGGGGGAAUAUUGCAAAAGGGGCGCAAUCCUGAUGCAGCCAUGCCGCGUGUAUGAAGAAGGACUUCGGGUUGUAAAGUACUUUAGUCGGGGAGGCGUGACCCGCAGAAGAAGCACCGGCUAACUCCGUGCCAGCAGCCGCGUAAUUC